rnacentral:rRNA from 1 species
AUUGAACGCUGGCGGCAUGCCUUACACAUGCAAGUCGAACGGUAACAGGUUAAGCUGACGAGUGGCGAACGGGUGAGUAAUAUAUCGGAACGUGCCCAGUCGUGGGGGAUAACGUAGUGAAAAUUACGCUAAUACCACAUACGAUCUAUGGAUGAAAGCGGGGGAUCGCAAGACCUCGCGCGAUUGGAGCGGCCGAUAUCAGAUUAGGUAGUUGGUGGGGUAAAGGCUCACCAAGCCAACGAUCUGUAGCUGGUCUGAGAGGGCGACCAGCCACACUGAAACUGAGACACGGUCCAGACUCCUACGGGAGGCAGCAGUGGGGAAUUUUGGACAAUGGACGCAAGUCUGAUCCAGCCAUUCCGCGUGCAGGAUGAAGGCCCUCGGGUUGUAAACUGCUUUUGUACGGAACGAAAAGGUCUCUCUUAAUACGGGGGACUCAUGACGGUACCGUAAGAAUAAGCACCGGCUAACUACGUGCCAGCCGCCGCGGUAA